GAAAUGCGAUAAGUAAUGUGAAUUGCAGAAUUCAGUGAAUCAUCGAAUCUUUGAACGCACAUUGCGCCCGCCAGUAUUCUGGCGGGUAUGCCUGUUCGAGCGUCAUUUCAACCAUCAAGCCCCCGGCUUGUGUUGGGGACCUGCGGCUGCCCGCAGGCCCUGAAAAACAGUGGCGGGCUCGCUGUCACACCGAGCGUAGUAGCAUACAUUCUCGCUCAGGGCGUGCUGCGGGUUCCGGCCGUUAAACGACCUUCAUAACCCAAGGUUGACCUCGGAUCAGGUAGGAAGACCCGCUGAACUUAAGC
rnacentral:misc_RNA from 1 species